AUUGAACGCUGGCGGCAGGCCUAACACAUGCAAGUCGAGCGAGCGGCGGACGGGUGAGUAAUGUCUGGGAAACUGCCCGAUGGAGGGGGGUAACUACUGGAAACGGUAGCUAAUACCGCAUACCAUCAGAUGUGCCCAGAUGGGAUUAGCUAGUUGGAGGGGUAACGGCCCACCAAGGCGAGGAUCCGUAGCCGGGCUGAGAGGAUGAUCAGUCACACUGUAACGGAGACACGGUCCAGACUCCUACGGGAGGCAGCAGUGGGGAAUAGUGGACAAGGGGCGAAAGCCUGAUCCAGCCAUGCCGCGUGUGGGAAGAAGGUCUUCGGAUUGUAAAGCACUUUAAGUUGGGAGGCGUUACCAACAGAAUAAGCACCGGCUAACUUCGUGCCAGCAGCCGCGGUAAUAC
rnacentral:rRNA from 1 species